rnacentral:misc_RNA from 1 species
UCCAACUUAACGUUGGCAGUCUCUUUAGAGUGCCCAACUUAAUGCUGGCAACUAAAGAUAAGGGUUGCGCUCGUUGCGGGACUUAACCCAACAUCUCACGACACGAGCUGACGACAGCCAUGCAGCACCUGUCUUCCUGUCUCUUUCGAGCCUUCCGUAUCUCUACGGCGUUCAGGAGAUUCCAAACCCAGGUAAGGUUUUUCGCGUUGCAUCGAAUUAAACCACAUUCUCCACCGCUUGUGCGGGCCCCCGUCAAUUUCUUUGAGUUUUAAUCUUGCGACCGUACUCCCCAGGCGGGAUACUUAACGCGUUAGCUUCGGCACGGGAGGGGUCAAUACCUCCCACACCAAGUAUCCAUCGUUUACAGCGUGGACUAC